CCGCAGCUCAGUGGUAAAGGAUCUGCUUUGCGUGCAGAAGGUCCCAGGUUCGAUCCCCAGGUAGGGAUGGG